UAACACCCUAAUGAUUCUUCCACCCCGCACUCCCCCAGAGUGUGACCUCUGAUAUUUCUUCCACUCCAAUCCCCUUGCCUAUAAGAACCCCCUUGUACAACCCCUUCUUCUGAUCUUCUUUCUCUUUCUUUCCUUAAUUGAUUCGUAAACUGUUAUCAGGAUAGUGUCAAGUCCGUUGAUAUUGCUGUUGGAACGGAUCGUAUGAACUGCACAGGCGGUACGAACGGUUUAAUCUGCAACAUCGGUAACAUCUGCUU
rnacentral:sRNA from 2 species